GCAUAUCAAUAAGCGGAGGAAAAGAAAUUAACUAAGAUUGCCCCAGUAACGGCGAGUGAAGCGGCAAGAGCCCAAACUGCUAAUCUUCACACUGCGUGUGACGAAUUGUAAUCUAAAGUAGGUUCGCUCACCGGGUAGUGGCGCAGAAGUGCCUUAGGAUGGGCCGCCAGAGAGGGUGACAGCCCCGUAUGUAGUGCCACCGCCUACCCAGCGUCCUUACCACGAGUCGGGUUGUUUUGUAUUGCAGCCCCAAGCGGGAGAUAAACUUCUUCUAAGGCUAAAUACCUAUGGGAAACCGAUAGCGAACAAGUACUGUGAAGGAAAGAUGAAAAGAACUUUGAAAAGAGAGUCAAAAGACUUGAAAUCGUUGAGAAGGAAGCGGUAGAAAUUUAUUCUUCGGUAGUGGGCGGGGGUUGCUGCCUAACCGUCCUGGCCUGUAUGGACUUUCAUAAGCCUGCAGGCUUUGCUUGGGGCCGCGGUCGCCCUUGCCCUCUGCCGUGAGGCAAAAUGGGGUCCCCGUCCCGCAAAGGCCUCGCGUGCUUGGCUGGAUUCGUCCGGCAGCUCGUGGGUGCCGGUGGGCGUGUGGCCUGAGGUUGCUCUGUGCGAUUUUGCCAAAAUGGUUUUUACCGACCCGUCUUGAAACACGGACC
rnacentral:rRNA from 1 species